CACUCUAAGGAUCCUUUGAAGGAGGGGCAUUGACUGUGAUAGCUGGGUGUGGGGUGCAGACCAGAGGCUGCUCGCAGGGGACUGGAACCUAGACAGAACAGGCACAAUCCUCAGCACAACCACUCUUGUUUGGCCCAACCCCCAAGCAUAUCUCCUGAGUCAAGGCGAACGGCGAGGUCAGGGACUACCAGCUGCUGCCUGAAGAUUGCCUGGCAGGCCUGACCCCUUGGCAAAGCAAAGCGUCCAGUGAGGUCUUUGCAAAAAGUCUCUCCAAGGAGCUGAGGAGCUGGGCAUCAGUACAGCAGAAAAAUGCAAACCAAUCAAGUCACAGAUUUUUCAGGCAUGCCAACCUUCUGGUCCUAGGCAUGAAGCAUUCCAAAAAGCCUAGGAAAAUUCAUAUGUUUUCCUAAGAAUGAACCGAUAUCUUGUCCUUCCAAGUUGUAUCCUCUGAUCCCUCCCUGAGAGGCAGCCAUGAUCUCUGAGGGGUGAUAAUAGCUGGGCCUCCUGGCUGAGUGAAUCAUACCAACUGUAAGCUUGGCUUAUGACCCAGAAAUGGAAACAGGAAGUGGCUUACAGAAUACAAAGAGCACAGUCAAGGAAGGAGUGCAGUAGAAUUCUCCUCGGAUGACAUGGUGUACAAUAGACAGAGGUGAAGACUGGCAUUUUUCCUUUUUUCUUUUUUCUCUUUUUUCUUUUCUUUCUCUUACCAUGAUGCCCUCUGGCAGGGCUGGGCCAUCUGAAUGGGGAGUGGGAUGUCUUCCCCGGGGUGGCAGAGGGGGAACCACUGUGGAUAAGUAGCUUCUCUCCAUAGGGAGCCCAUCUGUGGGAUGCUAUGGCCCCUUUUCACCUCAUCUUUGCAAAUUAAUUUGGGUUCUUCAGAAUGUAUUUUGCCAGGCUUUAUAAAUGUAAACUCUCAAGAGGUGCUUCCAACAAGAAAAACCGACUUCUGGCAGCUUUGAAUAGUUCCCAGAAGGUUCUCUGAGCCCAUGGGGGGAGGGCUUCCUUGCACUCAUGCUGAGAUACAAAAAUCCACUGUCAUCCCUAGAUACCUGGAGGGGGCUGGAUGGGGAGG